UGAGGAAUUUUCCACAAUGGGCGAAAGCCUGAUGGAGCAAUGCCGCGUGGAGGACGAAGGCCUGUGGGUCGUAAACUCCUUUUCUCAGAGAAGAAGAUCUGACGGUAUCUGAGGAAUAAGCUCCGGCUAACUCUGUGCCAGCAGCCGCGGUAAUACAGAGGGAGCAAGCGUUAUCCGGAAUGAUUGGGCGUAAAGCGUCUGUAGGUGGUCCAAAAAGUCUACUGUCAAAUACGUUGGCUCAACCAACGGCAGGCAGUGGAGUACUGUUGGACUAGAGUGCGGUAGAGGUAGAGGGAAUCCCUAGCGUAACAGUGAAAUGUGUAGAUUUUAGGGAGAACACCAGUGGCGAAGGCGCUCUACUGGGCCGAGACUGACACUGAGAGACGAAAGCUAAGGGAGC
rnacentral:rRNA from 1 species